rnacentral:rRNA from 1 species
CUACGGGAGGCAGCAGUAGGGAAUCUUCGGCAAUGGACGAAAGUCUGACCGAGCAACGCCGCGUGAGUGAAGAAGGUUUUCGGAUCGUAAAACUCUGUUGUUAGAGAAGAACAAGGAUGAGAGUAACUGUUCAUCCCUUGACGGUAUCUAACCAGAAAGCCACGGCUAACUACGUGCCAGCAGCCGCGGUAAU